rnacentral:rRNA from 1 species
UACGUAGGCGGCAAGCGUUAUCCGGAUUUAUUGGGCGUAAAGGGAACGCAGGCGGUCUUUUAAGUCUGAUGUGAAAGCCUUCGGCUUAACCGGAGUAGUGCAUUGGAAACUGGGAGACUUGAGUGCAGAAGAGGAGAGUGGAACUCCAUGUGUAGCGGUGAAAUGCGUAGAUAUAUGGAAGAACACCAGUGGCGAAAGCGGCUCUCUGGUCUGUAACUGACGCUGAGGUUCGAAAGCGUGGGUAGCAAACAGG